rnacentral:lncRNA from 1 species
CAACAUUGUAAAUAAGAUAUUGUCCUUAAUGUUUUGCCUGUUUGAAAAAAAGGAUAGAAAAUGAAUAACACACUUGUCGUUGUGUAGGCCGGCAGAGAAGCAGCAGUCCAUCAGAGGAAGAAACGAACUGUAAAAGGUCACGAUGGAGGACGAGUCAGGUAACCAUGUCUCAAAUAUGAAUAAUAAUGUCUGUAUCUAGUUUAUCUCUGUGUGACUCUACGCCAAUGUUUUCACUGCAGAUGGGGGUAAACCUGCCAAGACUACUGCUCAGGACAUGUCCGAGCGGCAGCUACUGCAAGUGGCCAAGCGGCUGGGCAAAGAGUGGAAACAGGUGGCCAUAUAUCUGGACUUGAGCUCUCGGGACCUGGAUGACAUUCAGGCAACGGAGAAGGAUGUGACCAUGCAGAAGCUAAAAAUGCUGGUAGAGUGGAAGAGCAGGAGGGCUCCAGGGCAAGCCACAGCGUCCCAUCUGUGGAAGAGUGUCAAAGACUUGGACGACUUACCUAACGAGAUCGUUCAGACGCUAGAAGACAUGAUGAGCGGUCAGACACAAAAAUAGGGACUGGCAGGUGUUGUGGCCUGAAGCUUCUCCAUCAGGACUAAACUAACUCAGGACUGAAACAAUGUUGUACCAAGCCUUAUCUUUUGUUGAUGAUUUUUGUUGUAAUAUAAAAAUGUUUUAUUGAGUCCAAAUCGAGAAUGUACAUAUUGUACAGAUGUGUUGAGCUGUAAAAGGCCAGUGGACUGACUAGUCGAAAUGACCCUCCUGCAAAAGGCAAUGGUCAUUGUAGAUAUGUCGAAGAUUGAGUUACUGCAGUGUUUUAAACUGCAGUGAAGAACUGUUUUACUUAAAAAGUUUGGGGGACCUCAGACGUGAGUGACUGAGGUAUUAUGUACUGUAGUGUAGCAUUACAAAAACCUUUUAUACUCCAUUAGUUUACAAUUUGUUAUUGUACACUCUAUUCUCCUGUGAUGUACAUGGGAUUUUUAUACUUAUUUUAUGAUUAUAUGAAAUUUACUUCUAGAUGACUGUUUUUUUACAUUCACGCUAAUCAUGGAGGCAUUCCUGUGUUUGUUUUAAGCUAUCUUGAAGCAUUUGUUGGUGCAGCUCCUGCAGUUACACAAACUGUAACUGUUGUGCGUCUUUAAAUCAGUGGAUGUUUUGUUGCUAAUGCUGUUGAGUUUUUUUUGUCCUUUUACUGUAAAUGCACAGCAUUCUUUGGUUAUUGAACCCUUAACAACACUGAGUACCAAGAAUGAGUCCUGUUUUUGAAUUAUUGUUUACAUGAAAACCACUGGUCCGUCUCUUUGCACUUGAUUAUGAUUCAGGUCAGUCAUUACAAAUAUUUGUAAAAUAAAAAUGUUGACUGAGCAGUUUUCAUCAUUAUAUUAUAAUUUGUUCAAUACAAUAUAGUCACAAGAAAUGACCAUAACAUUUUUAUUUAAAAGCAGAAAUGUACACAUUUGAUAGAUG